UCUAACAAUUAAGUACUUUGAAUGUUAUAUAAGUCUCUUAUUCUGAGAAAUGAAAUCUCAUUAUUACGCAGGAAGAUAAUUCUAAAUUACCCACUUUUCCAAAAAUAGGACCAACAAAUUUUUGUUCAGACAUUAUUAUUUCACAGGAUUAGUUGCUCAAACAUUUGAGCUCCUUAAAAGCUUCGAAAGCCUGUGGUUCUGAUGACUGUCGCCCUUUAUUCUUGAAGAAAUGUGUAAAGGGACUUAAGGCGAUAUAUGAUUUUGUCUGUAAGAGAUUUGCAGCACUUCUUGACAUGAGGGGUUUUUGGCUGCAGAAAUGUGUACGUGACUUCAAGUUUUCAAACAAUCUAUUACAUUCAUUGGGUGAAGAGGAAGAUUUCCGAAGGCUGUAUAUAAAGAGACCGUACGAGAGGAACUUGAUAAAGAAUUGUGAUGCAUCACAAGAUAUGAAGCACUGGAAGAUGACAAAGUCAGGGGGAAAUGGUUGGCAGGUAGAAAAAUCCCCUAUAGGCCUUCAUCCACUGUCCCAAUUAACUCACACAG